rnacentral:rRNA from 1 species
UAUCAGUCAUGCAUAGCAUAUCAAUAAGCGGAGGAAAAGAAACUAACAAGGAUUCCCCUAGUAACGGCGAGUGAAGCGGGAAGAGCUCAAAUUUGAAAUCUUAAAGGGUUUCCCUUUACGAAUUGUAGUUUAAAGAAGUGUUUUCUGUUGAGGUUUUGGUAAAAGUUCUUUGGAAUAGGACAUCAUAGAGGGUGAGAAUCCCGUAUUUGACCUUUACUUUCAACUUUGUGAUACACUUUCAAAGAGUCGGAUUGUUUGGGAAUGCAGUCCAAAAUGGGUGGUAAAUUUCAUCUAAAGCUAAAUAUUGGCGAGAGACCGAUAGCGAACAAGUACCGUGAGGGAAAGAUGAAAAGAACUUUGAAAAGAGAGUUAAACAGUACGUGAAAUUGUCAAAAGGGAAGCGUUUGACACCAGUGUUGUUUUUCUGAAAAUCAAUUAAAGAACUGUUUAUGCUAAGUUGUUUAGACUUUAUCAGCUAACUGUUUAGUUUUGAGCUUUUCUUUAAUGCAGCUUUUCAGUUAACAAGUCAACAUCAAUUUCUUUUGCUGUAAAAAAGCUUGAGGAAGGUGGCUUGAGAUUCGUCUUAAGUGUUUAUAGCCUCUUGCCUAUGCAGUCGGAGAGAUUGAGGUCUGCAGCGUAGAUCCUUCGGGGCUAAAUGCAUUUGUGCUAAGUUAUAGCAUUUUAUAGACAACUUGUUGACUAUGAUUUGUCUUGUAGCUUACUCGCUUAUGUUAUUUUACCUACGCUUAGGAUGUUGACGCGCGUGUGUGCGUG